rnacentral:sRNA from 1 species
GUAUUGACUGCGUGAAGGAUCGAAGUGGAAAUCCUCCCGAUUUUUAUUCGGGAGAUUGUAACACAGAGCCUGACGCAGC